rnacentral:rRNA from 1 species
AGAGUUUGAUCAUGGCUCGGGAUGAACGCUAGCGACAGGCCUAACACAUGCAAGUCGAGGGGCAGCGGAGAGGUAGCAAUACCUUUGCCGGCGACCGGCGCACGGGUGAGUAACACGUAUGCAAUCUACCUGUAACAGGGGGAUAACCCGGAGAAAUCCGGACUAAUACCCCAUAAUAUGGGCGCUCCGCAUGGAGAGCCCAUUAAAGAGAGCAAUUUUGGUUACAGACGAGCAUGCGCUCCAUUAG